rnacentral:rRNA from 1 species
UCGAGAAUCUUCCACAAUGGACGAAAGUCUGAUGGAGCGACGCCGCGUGAUGGAUGAAGUACUUCGGUAUGUAAACAUCUUUUAUAGGGGAGGAAGUCAUUGACGUUACCCUAUGAAUAAGAGGUUGCUAAACUCGUGCCAGCAGCAGCGGUAAUACGAGUGCCUCAAGCGUUAUCCGGAAUUACUGGGCGUAAAGGGUGCGUAGGUGGUUAUAUUAGUCUUCGGUCAAAUUUCUCCGCUUAACGGAGAAUCCGCCGGGGAAACGGUAUAACUAGAGGAUGUGAGAGGUGAGCGGAACUCAUGGUGUAGGGGUGAAAUCCGUUGAUAUCAUGGGGAACACCAAAAGCGAAGGCAGCUCACUGGCACACUCCUGACACUGAAGCACGAAAGCGUGGGUAGC